AAUCAACGCUGGCGGCGUGCCUCAGACAUGCAAGUCGAACGCGAAAUUUCCCUUCGGGGAGAAAGUAGAGUGGCGCACGGGUGAGUAACACGUAGGUAAUUUGCCUUUGGGUGGGGAAUAACUCAGGGAAACUUGAGCUAAUACCGCAUAAUGCAGCGGCUCGACAUCGAGACAGUUGUUAAAGCGGGGGAUCGCAAGACCUCGCGCCUAAAGAGAAGCCUGCGGCAG
rnacentral:rRNA from 1 species